AUCAAUAUUUUUUCAUCCUCAUUUAACAACACUAAUCCUUUAACCAAUCCAAAUCACUUUCAAAGAUAUCAAUAUGUAUUUAAACGCCAUCAACACUAUAUAAACUUACCAAGUAUCGUAAAUUCAUAUUUUGAGUCUUCGAGUUUUCAACUUGAACUUUUCGAUAGUGUUUGGAUUGGGUACAAGAGGGGGGAUAAGGGGGUUAUCCCCCCUC
rnacentral:lncRNA from 1 species